GACGAACGCUGGCGGCGUGCCUAAUACAUGCAAGUAGAACGCUGAAGGAGGAGCUUGCUUCUCCGGAUGAGUUGCGAACGGGUGAGUAACGCGUAGGUAACCUGCCUGGUAGCGGGGGAUAACUAUUGGAAACGAUAGCUAAUACCGCAUAACAGUAGAUAUUGCAUGAUAUCUGCUUGAAGGUGCAAAUGCAUCACUACAGAUGACUGCGUGUAUAGCUGGUGUGGGUACGCUAACAAGCGACAACAAGCACUGAAGGGUUGCAAAUGGAAGGACGGCAGCCCCAGAAGAGGUGGACCUGCAGGGGGACUUGGGGAAGCGGGAGAGAAGGUCGAAAAAACUCUGGAAAAAAAGGGGAAAGAAAUUCGUGAGUUUUUAAAAGGGGAAUGGCGGCGGGCAAAAAAGGGAAGGGUGAAAGGGGGGAAAAAGGGGGAAUAAUGAGAUAAAGGGUGUUACCACUCGUUGGAUUGUUAGGGGGGAGAAAGGGGCAUUGUGGGGGGAAAAAAAUAAAAAGGGGGACCCGGGGGGACCUUUUUUUUUUUUUUUUUUUUUCUGGGGGGGGGGGGGGGGAAAAAAAUUUCUUGGGGGCGGUGAUAUUUUUUUUUUUUUUUUGGGGGGGGGGGGGGGGGCCCAAUAAAAAAAAAAAAAAAGGGAGCUAUAGAUAAUGCAUGCGCGUUGCUGCACGAAAUG
rnacentral:rRNA from 1 species